GAUUAGUGCAGGAAUCGAUUGCUGUGCUAUCAACUUAGUGUUUGAAUUUAUGGAGUCACAUACAUAAGUCAGAUACUGUAGGAAAGUAUUAGCUUAUACUUAUAUAUCCAAUUUGAAAGUACUUGACUUGAUUGAAUAUAUAAGUUAACUUGAUUAAGAAUUAAGUUUUGAGUCAAACGGGAUUGAAGAGUUGACUAUGUCUAGUUAGCACUACACAUGAGGUUCAGGUUCAAUCCCGAGGAUGAACUAUUUUUGAUCCAUGAUCUAUGGAGCAUAUGAGAGAUUGGAUUUAAGUACUAAAUAAUUUUAAACUAGAUCUAAAUUAAUUAGACUUAAUUGGAUCCAAAAUUCAAGUUAGACUUGAUACAAAAAUUCUAAAGAGUUUGGGAUUGACAGUCUUUCGAAAUUAUUUCAAACCAGCUUCGAAUUGGAUUCGAAUCGAAUCCAUUUUGGAUGAGAUCUUAGGAAUCCUACUUAUACUAAAAUUCUCCUCUCUUUUGGGCCGACCAGCACCUGGUAUGGUGCUGGUUGUGGGCGUCCCAUAUGGGUGUUGGAAUGGGUGCAUUGUGGGUGUCUUGUGUGGUUCCAAUUCUAUCUCAUUUAGGAGUCCUUCUUUCAUGAGUAUUGGACUGAUUCAAAGCAUGUUUGAAUUAGGAGUUCUAUACUUAUUGGAUCAUGGGAAUCAUCUAUAAAUAGAGAAGGUCUCUACUUAUAGAUACAUAGCAAACAAAUCAGAUUGAGAGGAGAGAGAGAGGCGUGAGAAGAGGAGCUCCUUCCUUCCUUGGCAUCUUCCCAUCCUUGCUGCCCAUUCUCUCCUUGCCAUGGGCCCUUUUUAGACAUCCCCCUUUGCUGGUAUGAGGUGUCACACCAGCACCUCUCCUCCCUCAUUUGGUUGGGUUGCGAAGGUGAUUUGAUCGGAGUUUAUCCUACUUUCCUGCGUUGUCUUGUAUGCAUGCGAAGCAGAGGGUCUGCACAUCCAGACCUCUGCAAAGGUUGAUUUCAGAUUUUUGAAAAUUUGAUCUUCUAUUCUACUGCUAUCCAGGUAAGAAUUUGAUCCUUAUUCAUGU
rnacentral:lncRNA from 1 species